UACGGAGGGUGCGAGCGUUAAUCGGAAUUACUGGGCGUAAAGAGUUCGUAGGCGGAUAAGUAAGUCAGAUGUGAAAGCCCUGGGCUUAACCUGGGAACUGCAUUUGAUACUGCUUAUCUAGAGUAUAGUAGAGGAGAGGGGAAUUUCCAGUGUAGCGGUGAAAUGCGUAGAUAUUGGAAGGAACAUCAGUGGCGAAGGCGACUCUCUGGACUAAUACUGACGCUGAGGAACGAAAGCAUGGGUAGCAAACAGG
rnacentral:misc_RNA from 1 species